rnacentral:ribozyme from 1 species
AAACAAACAAACGUGUGACCUGUUCUUCGUGACUCUGUUCUUUUUUCUUUUUCUUUUUUCGGCAUCUUUUUCAUGGUGUUCUUUU